AGGUGUUCAGUGGAUGCUUUAGACACAUCCAGUUUCAGCUCAUUGAUCUGCUGAUCUAGCUGCUGGAGAUGAGUCUUCAAUCCCACAUCCUGUCUGCGUAAACGUGUCUGCAGGGUCAGAGCCCAGUGCACCAUGGCACUCUGUUUGUCCCGGAGGAAAUGCAGCUCCUGCAGUCCGGCCAGCGCUGCGUGCAGCCUCUCUCCUGUCCUUCCCCGGUCCAUUCCUGCAGCUGCGCUCAGCACACCUGAUCCAGUGUGAAACAACUCCUGUGUUUGGACGAAGCGCACGAGUGUACAGUACCUGUACGGGGCGGCGUACAAAGCAACCCCGCCCACCUCCGCGCUGACCGCGGAAAACCCCGCCCCUCGUUGGCUGAUUGGCGGACAAUGACUUAGGCUGCUUCAUGAAUGCAACCGUCCAAAUGAGACACAAAGGCCUCCAAACACAACCAUAGCGACAGACGGAGAUGCCACGCAGAGCUUUAAAAGGAUCGGAAAAUGUGAGAGGGCAGAAGAAAGGAGUGUUCGGUGAUAAGGUGUACCUGUAUUUGUGAGGCAAUAAAGGACAGGUUGACACAAACAAGAGGAAGUGCAGCAGGGGGAGUGAAAGGUAAACAGGAAUCUGUUGUCAUAUGUGAAGCUGAGACAGUGAGUGAUGAACUCAAGAAAACAAACAAGUUCACAAGCCUCACGGCCUUCAAGUCACCAGCAUCUGAUAUCAUGCACAAGGUUUACUCAUCUCCUCUCACACAUGUUCAUUUCAUGGGACUGUCAUAUAACUCAAGUGGAUAGAUGCCUGUGUGCAGUGGACAGAAGGGUUUUACCUGAAAGACUCCAUUUAGCUCUGGGAGAUUAUGUUUUAAGGCCGCAGGUCACCUUCACUGAAAGAAAAAAGCAACAUGGACAAACUCUCUCCCUCUGCAUGGAAGAAAGUAA